UCGAGAAUCUUUCGCAAUGGGGGAAACCCUGACGACGCGACGCCGCGUGGAGGAUGAAGGUCUUCGGAUUGUAAACUCCUGUCAGCAGGGGAGAACAAGCUGUCUAUUAACAAUGGACAGCUUUGACAGUACCUGCAGAGGAAGCCACGGCUAACUCUGUGCCAGCAGCCGCGGUAAUACAGAGGUGGCAAGCGUUGUUCGGAUUUAUUGGGCGUAAAGGGUCCGUAGGCGGCCUUGAAAGUCGGAUGUGAAAUCCCACAGCUCAACUGUGGAACUGCAUUCGAAACUUCUAGGCUCGAGUGUGAUAGGGGUAAAGGGAAUUCCCGGUGUAAGGGUGAAAUCUGCAGAGAUCGGGAGGAACACCAGUCGCGAAGGCGCUUUACUGGAUCACUACUGACGCUGAGGGACGAAAGCCAGGGGAGCAAACGGG
rnacentral:rRNA from 1 species